ACACGGCACAGUGGUCUAGUGUAAGGUGAUGGACGCGUGCCCCACGACUGUAUAUGUAUCCAGCACGUAUAGACCAAAAAGUAUAACGGUGGUGGUUACCAUUAUCUUUAUACUAUUACCAUUACUAAUGUAAUACUUGUAUAUGGACAUAUAUUUAUGUGUAUAUAUACCAGUGUUGGGUAUGAAGAAACCGAAAAGAAGGAAAUAAUUUCGUGAAAAGUAGUGGAGGCAGAGGAAAAAAGGAGGAGCUUAGAAUUGUAAUAAUAAUAAUAAAAUUCAACCCCACGACUACCUGUAAGACAAAUUUGUAUAAGGAACCAUUUGAAAAAAUUUUACCGCCAUGAAAAAAAUUUUAAAAAAUUUAUAUUGCUAUUGGGUUGAAAAAAUAUUGGAGUAAAAAAAUUAUUAAUGAAUGAAGUAAAUUUAAAAAUGUAGUGAUACAUAUGUUUAUAUAUAUGUUUCGAAACUUUUUAAACAUAUUUACUAUCAACGUUAAUAAGAAUCGAGGAAGUAGGAGGAAAAAUAACGCAAUAAUUCUCUGAUAGUGAAUAAUAUCUUCAAGGUGGGUCGACUAUUAUUAUCACAACAGAGUAAUAAAAUUUUAGAGAUUAAUGAUUAUUAUAAAAAAUUAAUUUUUUUAUCUAAAAAUAGAAAGAAAUUAAUAGUAAUUUUUAAGUUUAAAUAUUAAGCAGCAAUUAUUGAUAUGUAUUAAUUAAAAUAAUUAAUAAAAUUAAAAGGUAAUUAAUAAUCUAAGUAAGAAGUAUACAGAGAAUUUCAUGAAUAAUGCAACUAAGCAUUCACUCAUUUUUUUUUUUUUUUUUUUCUAACUGUUGAUCCUUGUUUAAUUUGUACGCGUCAAGAGCAUUAAAAGCCGGACAAUUUUAUCAGCCCUCAUGUUAAAAAUUCUGCGGGCACAGGUGAUGAGAAUAAAACUCGCACGAAGCAGCAUUCAAAUUACAUAAUCAUGUAUAUAUAUUCAUAAAUGUAUAUGUAUAUUUACUGAACACAAAAUAAUUAUAGGAGUAAUUAAAAAUAUCAUAAAGGUAAUUGGUUAAAAAAUGAUAACAAAAAUAUAUGUAUAUAAAUUAUGAAUUUGUAUGACAUACAUAUUUAAUUACUCAUCGAUAAUUUCGAAUAUACUCGAACAUUGUCCUUCUUAGCGAUAUUUAUAUUAUUAUACUGAUAAAAAAAUGAAGAAAAAAUAUUGCGAGCAUAAUAAUGUUUAACUGACCUGUCAAGACUCGAUAGGACGACCAAUUAUAUGAAGAUAUAUGUGAGUUAAGUCAAGGGUUAAACCCAGCGUGUGUGUCUGAUUAUUUGGGUAAAAUUUGUGACAUGGAUUGACAGGAAACGGAAGAGACAUUAUUAGAGAAUAGCCUGAUGCUUUCUGUUGACCUUUUUCAAUAGAUCGAGAGACAUCGAUGGCAUUGGAGUUCUGUUGACCAAUCCUUUGUUGAUCGUAGAUACGAUAAAAAAUAAAAUAUAUAACCGGUACGGUACAUUUGUCUAUUGAUAAAUUUUUUUUUUAUACCUUUCUCACUUCAUAUUUACUGUUAUAGUUAUAACUCAUUAAUUGUAAGUUAUUAUUGUUUAUUUAAUGUACAUCCACACAAGUGUAUGAUGUGUAAUUAUUAUUAUUGUAUCAUUAGUUACGCAUAUGCAUAGAAUAUUAUAGUUGGAAAAAUAUACAAAUAUAUGAAUGUAUGUGUAUAUAUAAAUAAAAGAAAAUAUAUUAUGGAGAAACUAAAAAGAUCAUAAAAUAACCUUCGGUUUUUGUUGAAUUUAAACACAAUAUAAUGUA